rnacentral:rRNA from 1 species
GAGCGGCAAGAGCUCAAAUUUGAAAGCUGGCUCCUUCGGGGUCCGCAUUGUAAUUUGUAGAGGAUGCUUCGGGAGCGGUCCCCAUCUAAGUGCCCUGGAACGGGACGUCAUAGAGGGUGAGAAUCCCGUAUGGGAUGGGGUGUCCGCGCCCGUGUGAAGCUCCUUCGACGAGUCGAGUUGUUUGGGAAUGCAGCUCUAAAUGGGUGGUAAAUUUCAUCUAAAGCUAAAUAUUGGCCGGAGACCGAUAGCGCACAAGUAGAGUGAUCGAAAGAUGAAAAGCACUUUGAAAAGAGAGUUAAAAAGCACGUGAAAUUGUUGAAAGGGAAGCGCUUGCGACCAGACUCGCUCGCGGGGUUCAGCCGGCAUUCGUGCCGGUGUAUUUCCCCGCGGGCGGGCCAGCGUCGGUUUGGGCGGUCGGUCAAAGGCCCUCGGAAGGUAACGCCCCUAGGGGCGUCUUAUAGCCGAGGGUGCAAUGCGACCUGCCUAGACCGAGGAACGCGCUUCGGCUCGGACGCUGGCAUAAUGGUCGUAAGCGACCCGUCUUGA